CUUGCUGGGCGGAUUAGUGGCGAACGGGUGAGUAAUACGUGAGUAACCUGCCCUUGACUCUGGGAUAAGCCUGGGAAACUGGGUCUAAUACUGGAUACUACCUCUUACCGCAUGGUGGGUGGUGGAAAGGGUUUUACUGGUUUUGGAUGGGCUCACGGCCUAUCAGCUUGUUGGUGGGGUAAUGGCUCACCAAGGCGACGACGGGUAGCCGGCCUGAGAGGGUGACCGGCCACACUGGGACUGAGACACGGCCCAGACUCCUACGGGAGGCAGCAGUGGGGAAUAUUGCACAAUGGGCGGAAGCCUGAUGCAGCGACGCCGCGUGAGGGAUGACGGCCUUCGGGUUGUAAACCUCUUUCAGUAGGGAAGAAGCGAGAGUGACGGUACCUGCAGAAGAAGCGCCGGCUAACUACGUGCCAGCAGCCGCGGUAAUACGUAGGGCGCAAGCGUUGUCCGGAAUUAUUGGGCGUAAAGAGCUCGUAGGCGGUUUGUCGCGUCUGCUGUGAAAGCCCGGGGCUCAACCCCGGGUCUGCAGUGGGUACGGGCAGACUAGAGUGCAGUAGGGGAGACUGGAAUUCCUGGUGUAGCGGUGAAAUGCGCAGAUAUCAGGAGGAACACCGAUGGCGAAGGCAGGUCUCUGGGCUGUUACUGACGCUGAGGAGCGAAAGCAUGGGGAGCGAACAGGAUUAGAUACCCUGGUAGUCCAUGCCGUAAACGUUGGGCACUAGGUGUGGGGGACAUUCCACGUUUUCCGCGCCGUA
rnacentral:rRNA from 1 species